rnacentral:rRNA from 1 species
GUCUAUAGCCAUGCUACCCUGAACACGCCCGAUCCUGUCUGAUCUUGGAAGCUAAGCAGGGUCGGGCCUGGUUAGUACUUGGAUGGGAGACUACCUAGAAAGACCAGGUGUUGUAAUCA